rnacentral:misc_RNA from 1 species
UCGAUGCCUUACAUGCAGACCAACUUGUGAAUUUGUUUCAAUACAUGGGGAUGGUUGGGGUGCUUGUCACCACGGCCUCCCUUUGGUUAGGAGGGGGCGCGUAGUGCGUCCCCCUCCUGGCCGAACACAAACCCCGGCGCUCAAUGCGCCAAGGAACUAAAAUUCGAUCAAUGUGCCCCGUCGGCCCGGAGACGGUGCUUCGGCGGUGGUGCCUUGUCACAUGAUAC